rnacentral:rRNA from 1 species
GUAGGUGGCAAGCGUUGUCCGGAAUUAUUGGGCGUAAAGCGCGCGCAGGCGGUCCUUUAAGUCUGAUGUGAAAGCCCACGGCUCAACCGUGGAGGGUCAUUGGAAGCUGGGGGACUUGAGUACAGAAGAGGAAAGCGGAAUUCCAAGUGUAGCGGUGAAAUGCGUAGAGAUUUGGAGGAACACCAGUGGCGAAGGCGGCUUUCUGGUCUGUAACUGACGCUGAGGCGCGAAAGCGUGGGGAGCAAACAGGGAUUAGAUACCCUGGUAGUCCACGCCGUAAACGAUGAGUGCUAAGUGUUAGGGGGGUUUCCGCCCCCUUAGUGCUGCAGCUAACGCAUUAAGCACUCCGCCUGGGGAUACGGCCGCAAGGCUG